rnacentral:rRNA from 1 species
CGCUGGCGGCAGGCCUAACACAUGCAAGUCGAGCGCGCCCUUCGGGGUGAGCGGCGGACGGGUUAGUAACGCGUGGGAACGUACCCUUUGGUAGGGAAUAGCCACGUGGAAACGGUGAGUAAUACCCUAUGAGCCCUUCGGGGGAAAGAUUUUAUCGCCAAAGGAUCGGCCCGCGUUAGGAUUAGGUAGUUGGUGGGGUAAUGGCCUACCAAGCCUACGAUCUAUAGCUGGUUUUAGAGGAUGAUCAGCAACACUGGGACUGAGACACGGCCCAGACUCCUACGGGAGGCAGCAGUGGGGAAUCUUGGACAAUGGGGGCAACCCUGAUCCCAGCCAUGCCGCGUGAGUGAAGAAGGCCUUAGGGUCGUAAAGCUCUUUCGCCUGUGAAGAUAAUGACGGUAGCAGGUAAAGAAACCCCGGCUAACUCCGUGCCAGCCGCUGC